rnacentral:sRNA from 1 species
GUUCCUAAGAUAUGACUUAGGAAAAAAGUUAGGAACAUCCUAAAAUCAACUUAGGACAUGUCUUAAGAUGUAGCUCGACGGAAACUUAGGAACUUCUUAAGUCAGGAUAUCCUAACCUUCUACAACCAUUCCUUUUUUUCAUAUUCAUUCAUACAGAUCGCCUUUUAGAGACUUUUAUGGUGAUAAAUCAUUAAACAGUUUGCCAGAGAAAAGUGUACGUUACACAUUAUGCCUAAAACUAGUAAUUUAAUUGUAUACAUUUUUAAAAAUUUAUAAAUACUAGUACUUAAAUAUAUAUCAGUGUUCAAUAACAAUUUAGUUUAAAAAAACACCCCCCCAAAGAAAAAAACAAAAAAAAAAAAAAGCACCACCCCCCCCCCCCCCCCCCCCCCCCCCAAGUCUAAAUGACUGGGUUUUUUUUUUUAAAGAAAAUAUGUAUCAGGAGAGAAUUAGCUUACAAAGCAAAUAAUUAUUUAAACAACACGUGUGCAUUCUUUGAGUGUAAAUUAACAUUUGAUAACCUUGUCAUUCAAGUACAUGUAAUACACAAACACGCGCUUGUCUUAGAAUUUAAAGUUACAUGUAGAAUAAACACACGUACAAACACGACCAUUUUCCCUUUAAUCUGCAAAAUAUAGAAUACACGAACAUAUUAAGUAAGAAAUAAGUCAUAAUGUAUCUCGAAAAUACAUAAAUACAGUUUAUUCAACAUUACGAGAAUUUUUUCAAGAUUAUUUUUUUUUCAGAAUGAAGUGAUAAAAAUUAGCCGAUGUAAAUUUACUUUUUAGCCAAUAAUAUUUGAAAAAUUUACAAAAAAUGUAUCUCACGUAGUGUACAUUGUAGAUAUUAAAAAUAAGUGAAUAAUUUCCAUUCGCCAAACAGAGACAGUAUUUGCGUUAAAAAAUUGCUUAAAGGCAGGCAUGUAGCAACGGGGAAGGGGGUGAGAGUUUGGGGUCUCUCUCUAAUUUUGUUAAAAUGAACAUACAUGAUAGAAUAAAUGACUAUGCCCCCCCCCCCCCUCCCUGAUUGGGAGUUUGAGGUUUGUCGGAAAUGCUGGAACUGUAAACUGUAGAAAAUAUUGCUUUAUUUUACCGGUCUUAAGAAAAAUAUUCACAACAGUCCCAAUAUUCCCAAAAAAUGUGAUUUUACAGCCUUAGGAUGGUCUUAGGACAAAGUAAGUGAUGUCCUAAAGUUAGGACAAAGUUAUGGCCGUUCCUAAAUUUAGGAGAGCUUCGAGAAACAGACUUAAGACUAAGACGUAUCCUAAGAUGUAGUUAGGACACACCAUAGCCAUAAGAUAGCUUCGUGAACAUGCCUGCUGGUUCUAUCUUUUUAAAGGUUCCUGUUGCUCUGCUUGAAUUUUUGAGAUGAUUGACUGUUCUUAUUGUCAUUUUUCGUUUGUGCAAAUAAACACUUACAUUUUAUGUGAUGUAAAUUUUACUUGACCCCUUCCAUUCAUAACCAGUUUCAGUGUAGACAGUCAAAUAUUUUAACUUUAUAUGCAAUGGUCACUACCUUAAUAAAUAUUAUUUG